AUGGUCUUGAUAUGUCUGGAGA
rnacentral:miRNA from 1 species